UUGGAGGGCAAGUCUGGUGCCNGCAGCCGCGGUAAUUCCAGCUCCAAUAGCGUAUAUUAAAGUUGUUGCAGUUAAAAAGCUCGUAGUUGAACCUUGGGUCUGGCUGGCCGGUCCGCCUCACCGCGUGCACUGGUCCGGCCGGGCCUUUCCUUCUGGGGAGCCCCAUGGCCUUCACUGGCUGUGGGGGGAACCAGGACUUUUACUGUGAAAAAAUUAGAGUGUUCAAAGCAGGCCUUUGCUCGGAUACAUUAGCAUGGAAUAAUAGAAUAGGA
rnacentral:rRNA from 1 species